UAUCCAACAGCCCAAAUCCAAUAAUUCCCUAAUUCCCUCGGCAGCUCGGUUUCUGCCUUCUGCAUCGGCGACACUCCGGUCAGUCUCAGACUCCACAGGCGACGCUCUACGCGCGGACCGACCUCAGUCCUCACAUCCUCUGGUUUGCUGAAGAACCUAAAGCUCAAGAUCGGAGAUUAGUCGGAGGGAAGUGGUGGGGCGAUCAGAAUGGAAUCUUGAUGAUCAAAGCCAACAAGUUCCUUGUUCUUUUCAACCGGAGGAUAUAUCGAAGAUUCAUUUCCAGUCAAUCAAUUCCAGUUGUAACAAGUCCAGUUCCUACACAAGAGAACAUAGCCCGUUUAAUACUAGACCAGAAAUCCGCUUUUGAAGCUCUCCAAACCUUCAGAUGGGCAUCCAAUCUCCCGAAUUUCACUCACUCCCAGUCCACCUACCGAGCUUUGAUCCACAAGCUCUGCCUCUUCCGGCAUUUCGAGAUUGUCCAUCAACUGCUCGACGAAAUGCGCAGCUCAACUUGUUUACCCCCGGACGAGGGCAUUUUCAUUACUAUUGUCCGUGGCCUUGGGCGGGCUAGAAGGAUCAGGGAAGUGAUCAGAGUUCUUGACUUGGUAUCCAGGUUUGAUUUGAAGCCGAGUUUGAAGCUGAUGAACUCAAUUCUUGAUGUUUUGGUUAAGGAAGAUAUUGAUAUUGCCAGGGAGUUCUAUAGGAAGAAAAUGAUGGGAUGCGGCAUUGAAGGCGAUGAUUACACUUAUGGGAUUCUGAUGAAGGGGUUAUGCGCCACAAACAGAAUUGGCGACGGAUUUAAACUUCUGCAAGUGUUGAAGACCCGGGGAAUGAAGCCAAACAUUGUGAUAUACAAUACACUGAUUCAUGCUCUUUGUGAGAAUGGGAAGGUUGGGAGAGCCAGGAGUUUGAUGAGGGAAAUAGCAGAGCCCAGUGAUGUGACUUUAAACAUUUUGAUUUCUGCUUACUGUAAAGAGGAUAAUUCAGUGCAGGCCAUGGUGAUGCUGGAGAAAAGCUUCAGCAAAGGGUUCAUUCCUGAUGUGAUAACCGUGACAAAGGUGGUGGGAGUUCUAUGCAAGAAAGGGCGUCUCCCCGAGGCGGUUGAGGUCUUGGAAAGAGUAGAGGAAAGGGGAGGGGAGAUUGAUGUUGUGGCUUAUAACACACUGAUCAAUGGCUACUGCAGGCUAGGGAAGCUGAAAGCCGGGCAGCGUCUUCUGAAGGAGAUGGAGAUGAAGGGAUAUCUACCAAAUGCAGAAACCUAUAAUGCUUUGAUAUCUGGUUUAUGUGAGUGUGGUAUGUUGGACAUGGCUCUUGACAUGUUCAAUGAGAUGCAAAGGGCUGGGAUAAAGUGGGAUUUUGCAACGUUUGAUACUGUAAUCCGCGGGCUCUCCUCUGUUGGGAGGGUGCAGGAUGGGUUGAAGAUCUUGGCUUUAAUGGAGGACAGUAAAGAGGGCUGCAGAGGUCACAUAAGCCCUUAUAAUGGAAUCAUCUAUGGCCUUUACAGGGAAAACCGCCUGGAAGAAGCAUUCGAGUUUUUAAAGAAAAUGGAGAGUUUGUUUCCCCGAGCUGUCGACCGGAGCUUGAGAAUUCUCAGUUUCUGCAAAGACGGAAGCAUGGAAGAAGCAAAGAACAUUUAUGUUCAGAUGAUCGGCGAAGGCAGCAUUCCCAGUGCAGUAGUGUAUGCAGCUUUGAUUCAUACAUUCUGUCAGAAAGAACAGAUAAGAGAAGCACUUGAGCUGAUGAACGAGAUGGUCAGCCAUGGCUACUCCCCAGUGGCUUCAACUUUGAACUCUUUGAUCAGAGGGCUUUGCAGGCAGGGUAAAAUCCAGAAUGCCUCAAGACUCCUGGAGGACAUGGUUGGUCGAGGAGGAGGAGGAGGUUGCUUUCCUGAUAUAGAAAGUUACAGUCCAUUUGUUGAAGGGUUUUGCAGUAAAGGGGACUUCCACAAGGCCUUCAUUAUCUUCCUACAAAUGGUGGAAAGAGGUAUUGUUCCCAACUCUUCUUCGUGGAAUACAUUGAUUCUAUGUCUCUGUCGGGAAAAUGGGUGGUUGGAAGACCAAAAUCUGUUGCGGGUAGGUAACCAACUUCAGUCCAUUAUAGAAACUUGACCAUUCUGAGUUUUACCAUUAUACUUGUCAUGAGUUGAUUUGAAGCUUGAAUGAGUUAAUCUUUCCGGCUGCCUGCUCCAAGUGGCGAACCGCGAACAGAUGAAGCUCCAUGGCCCAACUGACAAAGGUAUCCAUUUCAUGGUAGCUAUGUGUCACAUCACAGGGAAGAAUGGGCAACCUGCAAAUGAUAAAAUUCUUGAAGAUUAUAUUGAAGAUGAGGUUUUUAAGAGGGUGGCAAUUUGAUGAUAAGAUCAAAAAGAUUGUUUCUCCUGUCAUUUUCGACAGGGCCCCUCAUUUUCGGCGUCUAUUUUAGACAAAUGUUUCCAGUACAGAAAUCGCGUAAUAAAGCACGGUCCCUACUGUUUUAAAAGCAACUUAACAACCAUUGCUUUGUGGUUAUCACUUAUCAGGUUAUGAGAGAUACGUAAAUAUUCUUUUUCUUUUGUGCUACUGUAGAAUGAUCAUAUCUUUUUGUCGAUCUACUUUUUUGGUACAACAAUUACUGUAUUAUGUCACAUUAGAUUUUA